CGAACGUUCCACAAAAACUGUGUCUACGGAGAAAAUAAAUAAAAAUAAAUACAGGUGAACAUAUAUUAACAGUGAAUACUAACAAUAGAUUUUUGACGUCUCCCGGGCGAAACAUCAUAAUUGAGAAAUGGCAGAAGAAGUAUAAACAAUACUAAUAAUACUUCUAAACAAGACGGUGCCAUUGUUUCUUGCUAAAAUACCGGUUCACACAUUAAUCUCACUCCGAGACAUGGUGGAAGGAUUACAUGGUGUGCCAAGAACUCGCUAACCACGCCCCUUUACGCGCAGGACGGGAGAUUGAAGUGCCAAUGUGACAACUGUGAAAAACGGAACAAAUUUUACGUGUUGCAUUGCCAGCCGAACCAGUGUUGCCAACUUAGCGGAUCAUUCGGAUUCUGGCAAGUGCUUGGCGGGCAAAUUUUGAAUUUAAGCGGCUAGCAGAGAAUUUAGUGAAAAAUAUAUUUUUAUAGCAGAAAUUUAUCGUAAAUAGUACAAUGUAAACGAAUCAUCAAAUUAACCGAAAUGGACUCUGCCAAAGAUCAAACGUAGUUAUGGUCAAAAGACAGAACAUUAACAAGGUGACGCAUUUUUAUACCGCCUAAUACAGCGUCGCUCUAUCUGGGAAAUUAAUAUAAGAACAUGUAGUAACAUUGUCGAAUUCCGGGAAAUUGACAACAAUGUUGUAUCUGGAUUUUUUAACAGACCUAGUACGGCCAUAUGUGGGAAAAGAACAGUGCUGUACAACGAAAUUUUUCUGGACGAAUUUGCUUUGCCAACGUGCACCAUGAAGGUAAUUCCUCCAAAAUGCACGCCGUUGGUCAAACCGUGCGAUGUCUAUUUUUAUAGACAGGUAAAAAAUAUAAAGCGGAUGCAGAAUUGCGCCCAACUGAUUAAUCAGGGGCAGGAAAUCAAUUCCAGAGAGAAUUGCAAUAAAAUUCAUUUAAUCGCACACCACCAAUUGUCCUCAUCAAUUUUCAAUUAUAUGCUUCGGUACGCGUGGUAGGCUGCCAAGCUUUGCAACGAUUUGGAAAUUUUUAUGAAUGUAAACGAGGUGUGCUUCUCGAUCUAAAUUUUAAAAAAAAAGCACAUAAACAACCUUUAUACAGUGUGCUAGGUGCUGGUGAGCCUUUGUUUUCCUCGUUUUUAUGACGUGUACCACUCGGGCUCAUGUGGAACUCCACCUCAAGUAAAGCGAUAGGGUGAAUGAUAUACGUAAUUUAUAAUUGCAUUUCUUACUCGACGUCGUCGAUUUUUUUACAAAGAGCAAUUUGUCAAGCGAGAGGUAAGUUGAAAUACGUAAAAUUGCGUUUGUCAUUGCAAGGUUUAAUGUAAAACUUAUUUACUUGCAUUUAAAUUCGAUGUAUUUUAUAUGCAAGUGAUGUAGGUAGAAAUAUUAGAAGGAAUCAAAGGUGUAAAAAAAUAGUUUCCAAUAUUUUUGCUGAAACUAGCCUUUUUGAUCCCAUCAGAUAUCUAACAUAUUUUGCAUCGAAUACUUUAUGCAAAAAAAUUGAUUUUUAGACUUAUAAUAUUUUUUGCCCAACUUUGAUCUUCCAUCAUAUACAGUUAAUUUUUGGUGAUCGAAUCAUUUUCUAUUUAAGUAUUUCGCAAAAGGAUUUCGGUUAAUUCCGGUGUUCUAUUUUAUUGGCCUUUUUGUACUAUUGUUUUCAUAUAGUGUGACGAGAGGAGCAAUUCCUCAAAUGAUAAUGACAUAGGUAUAUCCUGUAUAUAUCAUCCCCAGUUGAAAGUCGCGUUUCCUAUAGCAACAUAGAAUCGAAACUGUACUAUUUUUACGUUCAUAAUUUCCUAUAUAUCUUAUUUCAACUUCAACCUGAGGAACAACACAAGGGUAAUCAAUGAAUCUGAAUCCAUUCUCGGGUGCGAAAAUUUAAUCAAACGUCUCUUUAGCAUGCUUUGAAAUUUAACAUAAAGGUACCGCUAUAAGUGUAAUAUAUUUGAGUAAAAAAAGCAUAAUUCAAACAAAUAAAACUUGCACAAAAUUCGAACUUCACACCUUCAAUGACUUCACAAUUAUUAAACUUCAAUUUGAAAUUAUUAAUUGAAGUACAAUUACACAUAUUCAGGUGUUAUUUGUAACAAUUUUGUAACAUUUUUCUUGACCUCAACUAUAUCUCGAUAACAAUUCCAACUUUGAUUGUAAAGAAUGUACAAUUGCUGAUAGACAUGAUUGACAUUGGUGAUAGCACACGUGAUCUAAACACGACUGUUAAAAGUUACCUCAGCAUUUGACUAGGAAACUUUAAUUUUGAAACUGAAUUCAACCUAAUGAGAAGAGUGAGAUACGAGAAUCUGAAAUUCGAGUAUUGUGCCCAAAAAUUAUAGUAGAAAAUAUACCUAUUAACAUGUAAAUAGGCUAGACAACAAAUGUCUAUGAUGCACACAACGCAAAUACAUUUGUAUAUAUUACAAAUUAUGUAUAAUACAUGACUAAAUGACUAUCAAAACUAUGUUUGUUUUAGGUAUAUCAUUAAUAUGGGUAAAAUAGACAAAUAAAUAGUAACAGACAUAUUCCGUGUUGCGUACGUAAUUUGAAUAGUCCAACAAACAAUAUACGUAUAUUACACACAUGUAUGUAUAUAUACCUAUAUACUCAAUUAGACCACUCUUCAGACUUUAACGACUCGUGAUUUGUACCCGUCGGAAUAUAACUUAGUAUGUAACAUGGCUUACAUAAAAGAAAUAAUUUUUUCCUUAAUAUUUGGAGCCUAAAUCCCACAUUCUCAGCAGUAAAAAUUUAGCGAAUAUUGGAAACCAAUAAUUUGCAACUACCGAUACCUCGAAAUUGAAAAUGCAACAUUAUAAUGUUGGAUACUUGAUUUCAUUU
rnacentral:lncRNA from 1 species